rnacentral:lncRNA from 1 species
ACUGGUCUGCAGGACUGGUGACAUGCUCCUCACAUCUGGCCAGGGUCAGCCCGUGUGUGCUCAUCUUACACACGUGGUCUCCAGCUCACCUCCAGCAUGAGCACUUGUGACCACACACUGAGAAUAACAGGUGACUCCAAGCUUGGAGCAGUUGUGAGCUCACAGCUGUCAGCUUGGGUCCAGAGGCCAACACACCGAGUAGCUUGGUGUUGCAGUGGCCUGGCUGUGCGGCCCGUGGAAGCAGACAACGGCAGUCAGGACUGCAGGGCCCUACCACGUCCCUACAGCCCUUCCCCAACACAGGAGGUGCAAGCUCAGCAUUACCCAAGAACAUGGGGCUGGGGCCAAGCGGUGGAGGCUUCAGUCUAAGUUCUGCAACGAAGAAUCAGCUUGGUUUUGGGUGAGCCAUGUGGGGCAUAAGGUUCUUCAGCAAAAUGAGGGACUGAACCAUAGAACCUUAAGUUGGAUUUGUGAAGAAAAUUACUUUGAGAACAAAAAAGGGAACAGUUUCCAAAUCACGAAAUGAUCUUACUAAUCUAUCAUAGCUCUUAAAAUGUAGUUCGCCUCAUUAAUGGAAUAAUACAAAAGGAAAAUGUAGUUUGCCUCAUUAACUUGGAAUAAUAUGACAGGACACUGAUUUCUGCCCAUUUGUAUGCAGACUUCAUUAGAAAAUAGUCAAAAUUUAGUUUCUAUAAAAAUUGUAAGUACCACUGUACCACACUGCAUUAGACUAACAGGUCAUCUUUAGUGCUCAAAAUAAACUUGUCCUGCAGGACCUCAUGGCCUCUGAAAUGAAAGAGGAGUUUGGCCUGACAACCGCCACGCCUACUGCCACCUAAGCAGCAGCGUCCAGCAUCUGCAGGUCUCUCAGCCGCUUGUCAUGGCUUCGCUGACAACCUCAGUCUGGAGAGGAGAGGGAACCCUGCAGGACUGUGUAUGCAGUGCAGACUUUUUUUUUUUUUUUUUUGUAAAGACAGGGUCUCGCUAUGUUUCUCAGGCCAGUGUCAAACUCCUGGCCUUAAGUGAUUCUCCCACCUCAGCCUGCCAAAGUGCUCAGAUUACAGGUGUGUGCCCAGCCACGGCGCAAACUUCUGAGGACCUACUGCCAACCAGCUAUCCUAAGAUGCUGCAGAGGGUUCCUGCAUUUAGCGAGGAUGCUGCAUGAGAUACUCUCUACCUCCUGGCUGACACUGGCCCCAUGGAAAGUGAUACCGAUAUCUAGCGAGUGUCCACAUGAGUCCGUAAAUGAGAUUAUUUUCGUGACUUUUAGUUUCACUGCCCUUCCAUACAAAUUUUAGAAUAAUCUUGCGCAUCUACAAAAAAAUACCUUGCUGGGAUUUUUGCUAGCAAGUACAUCAAACCUGUACAUCAGUCUGGAGGGAACCCACGUCUCUGCUGAGCCUUCCAGUACAUGAACACGGUAUGUGUCUCCACUUCUUUGGGUUUGCUUUGAUUUCUUUUAUCAGUAUUUUGCAAUUUUUAGCAUACAGAUCCUGUAUAUGUUUAUUUAAUUUAUGCCCAGGUAAUUCAUUUUUGUGAAACAAUUGUUAAGUGGUACUAUCUUUUAAAUUUAGGUUUCCAUAUGUUCAUUAAUAGUAUAUAGAAAUGCAAGUGAUUUUUGGUAUAUAGGUCUUGUAGCUUGAGGCCUUGCUGAACUCUCACUAGAUCUAGUUUGUUUUUGUUUGUUUUUUAAGGACAGGGUCUCACUCGGUUGCCCAGGCUGGAGUAUGGUGAUGUGAUCAUGGAUCACCAGAGCCCUGACCUCUCUGGCUCAAACAAUCCCUCCCAGCUCAGCUCCCUGAGUAGCUAAUACAUCCAGCUAAUUUUUCAAUUUUUUGUAGAGAUGGGGGUCUUACUAUG